rnacentral:tRNA from 1 species
UUAAUAAAAUCCAAAUUUUAGAGGAACAUCACUGUUAAUGAUGCCAUUAAGAUAUAAAUCUUUUAUUAAA